rnacentral:rRNA from 1 species
CCUACGGGAGGCAGCAGUGAGGAAUAUUGGUCAAUGGGCUUACGCCUGAACCAGCCAAGUCGCGUGAGGGAAGACUGCCCUACGGGUUGUAAACCUCUUUUGUCAGGGAGCAACGCCGGCUACGUGUACCCGGACUGAGAGUACCUGAAGAAAAAGCAUCGGCUAACUCCGUGCCAGCAGCCGCGGUAAUACGGAGGAUGCGAGCGUUAUCCGGAUUUAUUGGGUUUAAAGGGUGCGUAGGCGGAAUGCCAAGUCAGCGGUAAAAGCGCGGGGCUCAACCCCGCUCCGCCGUUGAAACUGGCGUUCUUGAGUGGGCGAGAAGUAUGCGGAAUGCGUGGUGUAGCGGUGAAAUGCAUAGAUAUCACGCAGAACCCCGAUUGCGAAGGCAGCAUACCGGCGCCCAACUGACGCUGAAGCACGAAAGCGUGGGUAUCGAACAGGAUUAGAUACCCCAGUAGUC